CUUUUUUUUUUUUCUUACAACAAAGGAGACAGCUCAAGGGCACAAAAAAAAAAAAAAAAAAACAAUAAUAAAAAAAAGCCCGCCACUCGCUGCUCCCAAAAAAGAAUCAAAAGAGAUGGCCGAAAGAAGUCAAUUUCGGGAGGAGAGGUGUCCUGAUACCCUCCUCUUGAAAGAGUUCAAGUCGUAGGCAGGAGGAAAUACAGAUGAAGGAAGAUUGUUCCAGAGUUUACCAGCGUGAGGGAUGAAAGAGUGAAGAUGCUGGUUAACUCUUGCAUAAGGGGUUCGGACAGUAUAGGGAUGAGCAUCAGUAGAAAGUCAUGUGCAGCGGGGCUGCGGGAGGGGGGGAGGCAUGCAGUUAGCAAGUUCAGAAGAGCAGUCAGCGUGGAAAUAUCGAUAGAAAGAGAGGCAACAUCGCAACGGAAUUUAAGAGGUAGAAGACUUUCAGUAGGAGGAGGAGAGCUGAUGAGACGAAGAGCCUUAGACUCCACUCUGUCCAGAAGAGCUGUGUGAGUGGAGCCUCCCCACACGUGAGAUGCAUACUCUAUAUGAGGGCGGAUAAGGCCCCUGUAAAUGGAUAGCAACUGCGCAGGGGAGAAGAACUGGCAGAGACGAUACAGAACGCCCAACCUCGAGGAGGCUGAUUUAGUGAGAGAUGAGAUAUGAAGUUUCCAGUUGAAAUUUUGAAAUAAGGAUAGACCGAGGAUGUUUAGUGUAGAAGACGGUGACAGCUGAGUGUUGUCGAAGAAUAGGGGAUAGGUGUUUGGAAGAUUGUGUCGAGUUGAUAGGUGGAGAAAUUGAGUUUUUGAGGCAUUGAAGGACACAAGGUUCCUUCUGCCCCAAUCGGAAAUGAUAGCAAGGUCUGAGGUUAAGCGUUCUGCAGCCUCCAGCCUGGAGUUGUGUACUUCUUGUUGAGAGGGUCUUCUAUCUACCAUGGAGUGGCUUGUAACACCUUUCCCAUCCCUACAGGACUGCCAGAACCAUAACAGUACUGCCAGGCUUGUGUAUCCCUUGUUCUACCAUGGAGUGGCUUUUAACACCUUUCCCUUCCCUACAGGACUGCCAGAACCAUAACAGUACUGCCAGGCUUGUGUAUCCCUUGUUCUACCAUGGAGUGGCUUUUAACACCUUUCCCUUCCCUACAGGACUGCCAGAACCAUAACGGUACUGCCGGGAGUGUCAUCGGGAAGGCGUGUUCACCUGCCCCACCCCAAGUGUGGCGACAUGAAGGAGGAGCCGGAGGAGGAGGGGAGUGCCACGCCGUCAUGCAGGCAGAGAACACGGAGAACAGCUCUGAAAAAUGAAGAAAGGAAGGAAGGAAGAUAAUCUCAGAAGACUCAUACAGUCCAUUACACGUCCUUCAUGUUAUGUUAUUACAUUCCUGUACUCCCAACGCCCGGCCCGGGGGUCCAGCCGCAACACUCACAAGGUCCAGAUGCAGACUGCGGCCACCACUUGAGCAGCCCGGCUGCUGUACACCAAUCCUUAUUUAGUUGUGUUCUUGUAGAGUUAAAUCCAGACAUCCCAUAUCCUUAGGCCAGGUCAAAAGUAAAGUUUGGUGUGCAUGGCCUCAGUGUUCAUCUCUGUUACACUGCCCCUGGAGGCCGUGGAGGCAGGAGCCCAGCACCCUGGGACACACUCAGACUACCACAGGUGCCUCCCCAGGGGUCUCCAGAUACACAUGAUCACCGAGACACAAAGGAUGACCUGCAUACGUCUAGGGAUUCAAACCCUGGCCAGCGGAUUGGUAGGUAGGCAUGCCAGCCACAGCACCAUGGAGCAAUGUAUUAUACUAGUACUUGGCACUGGUAUCCUAUGCUAUUUCUUCCUGGCUAGUUGGACACCAGAGAUUUCCUGUAUUAAUUUCAUGGGUUUUCUGUUAUAUAUUUGUUUAUUAGGUGUAUCUUUUGAUUUAGUUUCAUCAUGAUUUUUAUUGUUAUCUAGUGAAGCAGCUCAAGGGUGAAUGUAAUACAAAACACAAUUUGCAAAUUGAUAUUUUUAUUGCUAGAACACAAACACACACACAUACACAUAGUGACAUAAGGAAGGUCAUGUGGCUAUGUAGGGGGGCGGGUCAGGAUAGGGUCCAUUAUGUGUCUGGGGGAGGGCAUGUGUCUGUGGGAUGUUAUCAACUUCCUGUGGGUGACAUCCUGUGUGGCCUGAGAGAGAGAGAGAGAGAGAGAGAGAGAGAGAGAGAGAGAGAGAGAGAGAGAGAGAGAGAGAGAGAGAGAGAAUAGGAUUGACAAGAGAGAGAGGGAUAGAGACUGGUAGCCCAAGGAAGGAGUAGACAGGUAAACAGAUGAAGAAAGAUGCAUGAAAGGGAGGGAGAAAGAACUUGAGUGAUAAAUAAGGAAGUUAAACAGAGCUGAGAAAAAGGAAAUAUAUACAAGGUUAAUGUGUAAAGUACAGUUAUCUGUAACUGUAUAUUUGAGGCUUUCAGAGGAGGCGGGACAUAAGGAACAGUCCUAUUUUUUUCUCGUUUGUACUGGGAAGGGAAAGUCUGGCUAUCCUACACAUCCCAGGAGGAACAAAACACAAGUUACAAGGGGAAAGCAACUCUUGGUACGCCCAACACAAGGUCGCUUUUCCCUUGCAACUUGUUUCUCAGAAUGCAUAGAAUAGUCGGACCUUCCUUUCCCAGUGCAGACUAGAACACAAUGGGCCUUUCCCUUACGUCCCCUCCCCUCCAAAUGCCUCAAAUAUGUGUGUGUGUGUAAUGAAAGAAAAAUGGAUAAAACCCUAAUGAAGAGAUAGAAAUAUGGAAUGGAAAGGAAGCAGAUAUGAGGAAGGAAUGGAGAGGGAGAGAGGGAAGAGACAGAGAGGGAAGAAAUAGAACAGGAAAGAAAGAAUACAAUGAACUGAGCACAAGAAGAAGGAACCUAACUGGAGUAUAAAAAGAUAGGGAGGAGAAAACACUUGUGUAUGUAUGUAUAUGUUCGUGUUGUAUGUACUAUUGAGACUGACUUGGAUAUUGAUGUAAGAAUAUAAAUUAAUAAACAUUAGAAAUAAGGAA